UGGGGAAUUUUGGACAAUGGGCGAAAGCCUGAUCCAGCAAUGCCGCGUGUGUGAAGAAGGCCUUCGGGUUGUAAAGCACUUUUGUCCGGAAAGAAAUCCUUGGCUCUAAUACAGUCGGGGGAUGACGGUACCGGAAGAAUAAGCACCGGCUAACUACGUGCCAGCAGCCGCGGUAAUACGUAGGGUGCAAGCGUUAAUCGGAAUUACUGGGCGUAAAGCGUGCGCAGGCGGUUUGCUAAGACCGAUGUGAAAUCCCCGGGCUCAACUUGGGAACUGCAUUGGUGACUGGCAGGCUAGAGUAUGGCAGAGGGGGGUAGAAUUCCACGUGUAGCAGUGAAAUGCGUAGAGAUGUGGAGGAAUACCGAUGGCGAAGGCAGCCCCCUGGGCCAAUACUGACGCUCAUGCACGAAAGCGUGGGGAGCAAACAGGAUUAGAUACCCUGGUAGUCCACGCCCUAAACGAUGUCAACUAGUUGUUGGGGGAUUCAUUUCCUUAGUAACGUAGCUAACGCGUGAAGUUGACCGCCUGGGGAGUACGGUCGCAAGAUUAAAACUCAAAUGAAUUGACGGGGUCAUAGCUGUUUCCU
rnacentral:rRNA from 1 species